rnacentral:rRNA from 1 species
GACGAACGCUGGCGGCGUGCUUAACACAUGCAAGUCGAACGGAAAGGCCCUGCUUUUGUGGGGUGCUCGAGUGGCGAACGGGUGAGUAACACGUGAGUAACCUGCCCUUGACUUUGGGAUAACUUCAGGAAACUGGGGCUAAUACCGGAUAGGAGCUCCUGCUGCAUGGUGGGGGUUGGAAAGUUUCGGCGGUUGGGGAUGGACUCGCGGCUUAUCAGCUUGUUGGUGGGGUAGUGGCUUACCAAGGCUUUGACGGGUAGCCGGCCUGAGUGGGUGACCGGCCACAUUGGGACUGGGAUACGGCCCAGACUCCUACGGGGGGCAGCAGUGGGGAAUAUUGCACAAUGGGCGGAAGCCUGAUGCAGCAACGCCGGGUGCGGGAUGACGGCCUUCGGGUUGUAAACCGCUUUCGCCUGUGACGAAGCGUGAGUGACGGUAAUGGGUAAAGAAGCACCGGCUAACUACGUG